rnacentral:rRNA from 1 species
CGGGUGAGUAACACGUGAGUAACCUGCCCUUGACUCUGGGAUAAGCGCUGGAAACGGCGUCUAAUACCGGAUACGACCUGCCCCGGCAUCGGGUGCGGGUGGAAAGUUUUUCGGUCAAGGAUGGACUCGCGGCCUAUCAGCUUGUUGGUGAGGUAAUGGCUCACCAAGGCGACGACGGGUAGCCGGCCUGAGAGGGUGACCGGCCACACUGGGACUGAGACACGGCCCAGACUCCUACGGGAGGCAGCAGUGGGGAAUAUUGCACAAUGGGCGCAAGCCUGAUGCAGCAACGCCGCGUGGGGGAUGACGGCCUUCGGGUUGUAAACCUCUUUUAGUAGGGAAGAAGGGCUUCGGCUUGACGGUACCUGCAGAAAAAGCACCGGCUAACUACGUGCCAGCAGCCGCGGUAAUACGUAGGGUGCAAGCGUUGUCCGGAAUUAUUGGGCGUAAAGAGCUCGUAGGCGGUUUGUCGCGUCUGCUGUGAAAACCCGAGGCUCAACCUCGGGCCUGCAGUGGGUACGGGCAGACUAGAGUGCGGUAGGGGAGAAUGGAAUUCCUGGUGUAGCGGUGGAAUGCGCAGAUAUCAGGAGGAACACCGAUGGCGAAGGCAGUUCUCUGGGCCGUUACUGACGCUGAGGAGCGAAAGCGUGGGGAGCGAACAGGAUUAGAUACCCUGGUAGUCCACGCCGUAAACG